rnacentral:sRNA from 1 species
GGUAUUGUUUGCCCCCACGAUGAGCCCCGGAAACUUAUUGUGCAUUCAAACAAACAGAUA